GCCUUCGUGGUGUAGUGGUUCUGCACGCUGGGCUGUUAUUCCAGAGGUCCGUGGUUCGAUUCCCGAGCGGAGGUG
rnacentral:tRNA from 1 species